AUUGAACGCUGGCGGCAGGCCUAACACAUGCAAGUCGAGCGGAUGACGGGAGCUUGCUCCUUGAUUCAGCGGCGGACGGGUGAGUAAUGCCUAGGAAUCUGCCUGGUAGUGGGGGACAACGUUUCGAAAGGAACGCUAAUACCGCAUACGUCCUACGGGAGAAAGCAGGGGACCUUCGGGCCUUGCGCUAUCAGAUGAGCCUAGGUCGGAUUAGCUAGUAGGUGAGGUAAUGGCUCACCUAGGCGACGAUCCGUAACUGGUCUGAGAGGAUGAUCAGUCACACUGGAACUGAGACACGGUCCAGACUCCUACGGGAGGCAGCAGUGGGGAAUAUUGGACAAUGGGCGAAAGCCUGAUCCAGCCAUGCCGCGUGUGUGAAGAAGGUCUUCGGAUUGUAAAGCACUUUAAGUUGGGAGGAAGGGCAGUAAGUUAAUACCUUGCUGUUUUGACGUUACCGACAGAAUAAGCACCGGCUAACUCUGUGCCAGCAGCCGCCGCCG
rnacentral:rRNA from 1 species